UAGUGAAUAGUUUGACAGUAUUGAGGGAAUUAUUUAUUUAGCAGACUGAUGGUGUUUGGGGGGGGGGACUUUUUAUACAUUAUACAACAGGUGGCUGUUAAAUCCAAUAUACAGUGUAACGUUAUCCAAAAUUUAUCUUGCAUGAAAGAUAUUAGAAGCCAUGAUUCAGACAUACCCAAACACAAGACCUCUUAUAGCAUCAAAGCAGCCUGAUAUUUUAAAGCAGGGGUGUCCAACUUUGGCUACUUUAAUACUUGUGGACUUCAACUCCCAGAAUUCCUCAGCCAGCCAUGCUUUAACUUUAAGCUCACAAGUCUUACCAGCACGAGUUACUAAGGUUAGACACUCGUUUUAAAGCUUGGAGCCUUAAAAGGUUGCUGCUACCUUAAGGACUCCGUUUAUUAAGACAAGCUUUAAAAGCACCAGGUCUAUUUUUUCCAGCUUGCACAGAAGCUUGAAAAAGAAUGGGCUCCUUUAAUAAACAGCAGGGAAGUGCUUGUGCAUGGUUCAAAGCAUAACUCUAAAUCGUUUUCAAAGUAUUCUACAGAGCAAAGCUACAGAGUGAAAGUCCUGUUGCGUAACAUUAAUGUGUUGCUGGCAUGAGAGAACUUAGUUUUGUUAAUAGUUUACCAAAGGCAUCUCCAGCUGAAAAAAGUAUGCUAUCAGCUAAAGGGAAAGACUUCUGCUUAAUACCCAGAAGAAACACAGUCCCCCUUGGAACAGAAUGACUUCUAAUGUAAGGGGGAAGUGUGUGCUUGUAUGCAAUGUCCCUGUGUAACCAAUGAAUCCUAAAGCUGUUUAAGGACUCAUAAUUUCAGAGGGUGCAUUCAUUCCAUCUUGUAUACCAUGCUGAACUUUAUACCCUUUGGAGAUGGAGUUAGUGAACACCUUUGGCUUUUUGUGCUGCUAAAUUCCAAAUAUUCCCAGUCAAGUCGGUUAAAAACGGGAGUUUAGACAUAUUACAAAUUACAACACGCGGAGGGCUCCGAGCUACCGAUUUCACCCUUCGGCCAACAGCUACCCCUAGCGGCGGCUGCGGGAAGCAAAACAUAUUAUCUCGCGCAUUUAAAAUCUCGCUGCCGAUUUCGCCGCGGUCAACAGGUUUAACCAGCGAGGUAACUCCGAGACGAGGUCACCAACCAAACAUUAAACUCCCGGGUUCCCGGAUAACGACGCGUCUAUCCUUCCCCGACCACGUGGACGGCGUCCCAGAACCCGAAGGCCCAAAAGAAAAAGGCGUCCGUUUCCCAAGCGAAGAAAGACCGAGCCAGAAUCCAAAGCAACACAAGGACUCCUUCCCUAUGAAGAAGCAUCCCAAAGAUUUUGUUAGACAAAUUGGACUUAUAAUAUGGCAAGGGGAAAAAAAUAUCCACAUGCCUUGUGUUAUUUCCAAAUGUUCUAUUUCCAGCAUGUUUCAGAAAACAAUUUUAAGAAAUUUAAUAUACGGUAGUUUUUCUUAAUUUAUUAAGGAACACACAUGGUGGACAGUGCUUUAAUCCCCAUUGUUUUUUUUCUUUUAUUAAGAAUGUGACUAGCCCAGACACGUUACCUCCUAAAUAAGACCUGAAGGAGGACAUGUAUUGAUUUUGGUAUCUUCCAAAUAUAUUGGAUCUGUGAGCUUCAGCAAGGCUGGUUCUGAGAAUUCCGGAGGUUGAAGAUCAACAGAUCCGGUAUAUCCAAAGGGCAAUAAAUCCAAGAAGGCUGCUGUAGCCAUAAACCACAACCCACUCAAUUGCAUUAUUUCUGCUCUUGUGGAGGAGAAAUUUUACUUGAAAUCAGGCGUGUCCAACAAUUUGGCUUGCCUAGGCUGCAUUGAAUGAAGAGGAAUUGUCUUGGGCUGUAUAUAAAAUAUAUAAUACAGUGAAUGUGUGUUAUGUGUAAAGUUUAUGAUCUUGUGGAGCAGCAUUAUUAGCUGCCCAGGGCCACCUACAGGCCACGGGUUGGACCCAUUUUCUUUAAAUUCAGAGAACUCUCUCCUGGUUGGUUUAAUAAUACCACACCAACCAUAAUGGCUUGGUAGGGAAUC